rnacentral:rRNA from 1 species
GAUGAACGCUAGCGAUAGGCCUAACACAUGCAAGUCGAGGGGCAUCACAUGAAGUAGCAAUACGGAUGGUGGCGACCGGCGCACGGGUGAGUAACACGUAUGCAACCUGCCUUCAACAAGGGGAUAACCCGUUGAAAGACGGACUAAUACCCUAUAACACAGGGGUCCCGCAUGGGAAUAUUUGUUAAAGGACAACCGGUUGAAGAUGGGCAUGCGUUCCAUUAGCUAGUUGGCGGGGUAACGGCCCACCAAGGCAACGAUGGAUAGGGGAACUGAGAGGUUUAUCCCCCACACUGGUACUGAGACACGGACCAGACUCCUACGGGAGGCAGCAGUGAGGAAUAUUGGUCAAUGGACGCAAGUCUGAACCAGCCACGUCGCGUGAAGGAAGACGGCCCUACGGGUUGUAAACUUCUUUUAACGGGAAUAAAGUGCCCCACGCGUGGGGUUUUGCAUGUACCGUAUGAAUAAGGAUCGGCUAACUCCGUGCCAGCAGCCGCGGUAAGUCA